AUUGAACGCUGGCGGCAGGCCUAACACAUGCAAGUCGAACGGUAACAGGAAGCAGCUUGCUGCUUCGCUGACGAGUGGCGGACGGGUGAGUAAUGUCUGGGAAACUGCCUGAUGGAGGGGGAUAACUACUGGAAACGGCAGCUAAUACCGCAUAACGUCGCAAGACCAAAGAGGGGGACCUUCGGGCUUCUUGCCAUCGGAUGUGCCCAGAUGGGAUUAGCUAGUAGGUGGGGUAACGGCUCACCUAGGCGACGAUCCCUAGCUGGUCUGGGGGAUGACCAGCCACACUGGAACUGAGACACGGUCCAGACUCCUACGGGAGGCAGCAGUGGGGAAUAUUGCACAAUGGGCGCAAGCCUGAUGCAGCCAUGCCGCGUGUAUGAAGAAGGCCUUCGGGUUGUAAAGUACUUUCAGCGGGGAGGAAGGCGAUAAGGUUAAUAACCUUGUCGAUUGACGUUACCCGCAGAAGAAGCACCGGCUAACUCCGUGCCAGCCGCCGCGGUAA
rnacentral:rRNA from 1 species